GAUUUUAUUAUUCCUCGAUGUAGUUACAGUGCAUGCAUUUAAAUAUAAUCUGGCUCUAUAUGUUUGUAUUUCUAGACUACCUCCAAACUGACUCAUAAUUUGAAACUAAAAAAUCCUCCUUCCUUAGCAGCUAUACUACUGAUGUCUAAAAUCUGAUACCUCUGCUCUAACGAUUCUGUCACUUGGAGAGGGGACAGGAUACCCAACAAGCCACAUAUGACAGGCUUCAUUUGGCUGGAUUCAGUGUCACCUUCAGCUCUGCUGAAUUGUAAUUAAAUUGAAGUGCCAGUGUCUCCAUGGAUUACAUCAAAUCUGCAGAACAAGGCUGUGGCAGGUACCAAACGCUGCAUACGAUGGCCCAGCUGCUCAUCAUGCUGAGAAGAUACCACACCAGGCCACACUUACUGCUGUUCCAGAAAGCAUCACCGAAGCGAGGGUCAUACUGUAAGAUGACCAUGAACGGCCCCGUCAGCAGUGAGUAAGAGCAGUAUGAGGAGAUGGGAGGAAAUGGACUGAAACUCCUACCUUAAUGGCAACGGGAUAAAUAGUGCAGCCAAUUUCAAAGCUGCCCUUUUUGAACAUCAUCACGGAUGUGUUGUUAAUACAAGUACCUGGAAAUUACACAGUGUGAGGAUCUUAACAAUACUAACGAGGCUGUUUCGGCUGCUUUCUGCUUAAAUUACACCCAUUAUGAUACGCACCCUCAGGGAAGAUGAGGAUGGGUUGUUUGGUUUUAUCAGCCACAUGAUCACUAAGCCUGAAAUGAAAAACCAGAACAAACAGAUUAAAAUAUUUGUAAUAAAAUCUAACCACUUUAAAUUUAGUCUUACCUACUUGCAAUUAUACAAAUAACUGAAACUAAUCUAUUACACUGACUGCUGAAUACUUCACUUUUAAUCAUGUGAACCAAAUAUUAGUGAAACUCACAGUGGGAAUGAUGCAGUGGUAAAUGCCUGACACACAGUAUUAUAAACAGAAAAAAAGCUAAACAGAUGUAGAUGUGAAGCAUGUUGUUAAAAAGUUUGAGGAAAAGAGAAGAAAUGGCAAAUCUAAAAAGCUAUCCAAAGCAGAUGAACAGUAUCUGAAAUUCAUGUCCUUAAGACAUAGGGGGGAAAAAAAUCAGCAAAGAUCUGACAAAAGACAUGUGAGAUGCAUCUGGACCUCCAGCUGAUCCAUCUACUGUUCACUGAAGCCUCAUCAGAAAUGGUCUCAGCGGAAGGAUGGCUGUGAAGAAGCCAAUCUUCAGAAAGGGAAACAGGGAGAAAAGGCUGAGUGUGCCAAAAUACACAUGAACUGAAAUGAAAAUCAGUGGAGACAUGUCUUUUAUGGAGUGAUUAAUUCAAUUUUGUCGCUUGUAGUUAAAAUCUUUGCCACUAUGUAAAAAUAAGUUCAGAAGAGAGGGACAACAGUGAGCAACUACAGCCAUCUGUAAGCACGGUGGAGGCUCUGUCAUGUUUUGUGGCUGCAUUUAAGUCGGUGCUGUUGAUGAUCUUGUCAAAAUCAACAGAAUUAUGAAAGUAGGAAAGUAGCUUCAGAUUUAAAUAAACCAUGCAAUAAAAUCUGGAAAGUAUCUGACUUCAUUGUUUUGCAUGACAAUGAGCCCAAACACACUGCCAAUCCAGAACAGAUCCUGGUUAAAAACAAAAACACAAUGCAAUACUAGCAGUGAUGCACUGGCCUUCCCAGACCUCAACAUUAUUGAACCCAUGUGGUGCAACAAAACACAGCCAACAUCCAAAGAAGAGCUUUGAAUGUGCCUGGAAAACUGUUCGUGAAGACUAUUAAAUAAAUGAAAACAAAGCUGA